rnacentral:rRNA from 1 species
CUAAUAUGCGAAAGCAUAUGCACUCUAAGGGGACCGCCAGCGGAAAGCUAGGAGGAAGGUGGGAUGACGUCAAAUCCUCAUGGCCUUUACUGUCCAGGGCGUACACACAUGCGACAAUGGUCGAGACAACGCGUUGCAAACCAGUAAUGGUAAGCUAAUCGACAUAAAUCGACCUCAGUACGGAUUGAGGGUUGCAAUUCACCCUCAUGAAGCUGGAGUUGCUAGUAACCGCAGGUCAGCUAUACUGCGGUGGAAUAACGUUCCCCGGGUUCCGUU